rnacentral:rRNA from 1 species
CCCAGACUCCUACGGGAGGCAGCAGUGAGGAAUAUUGGUCAAUGGGCGAGAGCCUGAACCAGCCAAGUCGCGUGAGGGAAGACGGUCCUAUGGAUUGUAAACCUCUUUUGCCGGGGAGCAAAAAGCGGUACGUGUACCGCAUCGAGAGUACCCGGAGAAAAAGCAUCGGCUAACUAUGUGCCAGCAGCCGCGGUAAUACAUAGGGAGCAAGCGUUAUCCGGAUUUAUUGGGUGUAAAGGGUGCGUAGACGGGAAAUUAAGUUAGUUGUGAAAUCCCUCGGCUUAACUGAGGAACUGCAACUAAAACUGAUUUUCUUGAGUACUGGAGAGGAAAGUGGAAUUCCUAGUGUAGCGGUGAAAUGCGUAGAUAUUAGGAGGAACACCAGUGGCGAAGGCGACUUUCUGGACAGUAACUGACGUUGAGGCACGAAAGUGUGGGGAGCAAACAGGAUUAGAUACCCUCGUAA